rnacentral:rRNA from 1 species
UACGUAGGGGGCAAGCGUUGUCCGGAUUUAUUGGGCGUAAAGAGCGUGUAGGCGCCAGGUAGGUGGGUUGUGAAAACUGGAGGCUCAACCUUCAGACGUCGACCCAAACCCCCUGGCUAGAGUCCGGAAGAGGAGAGUGGAAUUCCUGGUGUAGCGGUGAAAUGCGCAGAUAUCAGGAAGAACACCCGUGGCGAAGGCGGCUCUCUGGGACGGUACUGGACGCUGAGACGCGAAAGCGUGGGGAGCGAACAGGAUUAGAUACCGU